UGAGAGGCAAACACUCUGUCCAAGGAGC
rnacentral:piRNA from 1 species